AAACAUGAGCAAUCUCUCCAGACGAAGGAACAAAAGAGGACUGGUAGUGGGGCCCCUCCGCCUACUGUCUCCUUGGCACAGACACUAAUAACAAAGUAACAAAGGGAAUUCCUAUGAUUUAGAUGCCAUGCCAGCUAGUGUUAUUAACUGGCAGAAAACUCUUACUCGACGGUGUGUGAGGUGGCCUCAAUACAGCCCACUCCUGAGGAGGUGGAAGAGGUAAAGGUGGAGGUCCAGACAGCAGGGCUAAGUACCAGUUAACCACCUACCAACAAAGGCCCAGCAAGCGUCAGAGACUUCAUGAUGACGUGUUUGUAGUAGUUAGUAUUUUUUUUAAGAAGAAGCAGGAGGUGGAGAAACGAAUGAUGAAAAGAAAAGAUCAUCAAAGAACAAUGCCACGAUGUGUCGCAGACAUUAGUCAGUGAAUGCCUGCAGACUGUUUCAAGAACAGUUGCCAGUAGGAGCAGUCAUCACAUCUUUCCUUCCUCUGGCAAUAAUUUGCAGGCUUUUGUGAUAUUUGGGGAGUGCCAGGUGUUGUAGGGGCCAUUGGUUGCACCCACAUUGCCAUUUCUAAACCAUGAGUGGAUGCUUCUGAAGUGUUUUGUUCUCUGAAAGUCUCUCUCUCUCUCUCUCUCUCUCUCUCUCUCUCUCUCUCUCUCUCUCUCUCUCUCUCUCUCUCUCUCUCUCUCUCUCUCUCUCUAACUGUGCAAGGUGUGUGUGGGCCUGAGUUGCUGUUUUAUAAUAUUGUUGUUCAUUGGCCUGGGAGGAUCAGUGACAGUAUUUAUUUAUUUUUUUUAAUAGUCAGCUUUGCAAUACAAUCUUGAUCCUAGACGUCAUUUUACUUGGAGAUACUGCUUAUGCACUGAGACCAUUUGUAAAGACUCCAGAGUUAACUUCAUGGAUACCUAUGAAAGAGCAUAUAACACUACCCAUUCCCUAAUAAACGUAUUUGAACGAACAUUUGGUGUACUAAAAAAAUUUGGUUAUUUUCGUAUGAAAUUUAGAAUAGAUUUGGACACUACUAAAGCCAUCUCAUUGUUGCAUGUGUAAUGAUGAAUAACAUAAGUUUUUUUAAAGUAAAUUGAUUUUGCCUCAUGAUGGGAAAGAUGUCAUUCAGAAUGAUGUUCCCAACAGAAUGGAUGUACAAGGACUUGAAAACGAACAAAGGAGACAGAAACAGGAAAAAAGAAUCAUAAAUUACUUUUAAGCGUGCCUCCAUGGCAUGCAUUGUAGAGGUGAAGUGUCUCUUGCUAGGAAAUAAUUUGUAAGAGAUAAGUGCUUUUAUGAUUGUUUUAUUUCUUCUUACUGACUGUGACAUAUUGAUGUGUAUUAUACAUUGUUGUAUUGUCAAGGCUGGUUUGGGUGUGAACAGAUUAAGGUGACUGUAGAGAAUAAAAGUAAGGAUUGAA